GCAGUAGUUUUAUCACUAUCCUUCAACCUUUCAUUUUUGUUUCUGUGCCAUUGUUUAUCCGAACUCCUAAACUCUCCUUCAUUCUCUUCUGCAAAAUUCACCAAACUCCUAAACUCUUCUUCAUUCUCCUCUGCAAAUUCUACCUACACCCCCCUUUAAAAAACCCUGCUGAAGAAGACUGUUAGGUCGAAACGCGUACAGGGUUGCCUUUCCUUUUCUCUCCUUUAUCUCUCUACUUAUC